AAAGGAAAAAAUAGAGAAACAGGAAAAAAAAAUGUUGCUUUCACAGACACACUUUUCACUAGGGAUACCCCAGCAGGACUGGCUCCUGUUAAGUAUGUGUCUAGUGACUAGGAUAAACGGAGAUAUGAGGUUAAUAAUGGAAAUGGUCAUUUUAGAGGGCAUGGUCUAGGUGUUCUUAUGGGAAGCAUUCGAAACAUAUAUGACCACUUAGGGAAGAUGUAUGCAUUUAUUAAAUUUAUUCUGCCCCACCAAGAAAUUUCUAUUUUUUUCCCCAUUUAUUCAGAGCUUUGGACAUAUACCUAAAGUUUCUCAAAAAAUUAAUCUGCAUUAAUUCUGA